rnacentral:rRNA from 1 species
AACGAACGCUGGCGGCAUGCCUAACACAUGCAAGUCGAACGAGACCUUCGGGUCUAGUGGCGCACGGGUGCGUAACGCGUGGGAACCUGCCCUUAGGUUCGGAAUAACUCAGAGAAAUUUGAGCUAAUACCGGAUAAUGUCUUCGGACCAAAGAUUUAUCGCCUUUGGAUGGGCCCGCGUAGGAUUAGCUUUUGGUGGGGUAAUGGCCUACCAAGGCGACGAUCCUUAGCUGGUCUGAGAGGAUGAUCAGCCACACUGGGACUGAGACACGGCCCAGACUCCUACGGGAGGCAGCAGUGGGGAAUAUUGGACAAUGGGCGAAAGCCUGAUCCAGCAAUGCCGCGUGAGUGAUGAAGGCCUUAGGGUUGUAAAGCUCUUUUACCAGGGAUGAUAAUGACAGUACCUGGAGAAUAAGCUCCGGCUAACUCCGUG